rnacentral:lncRNA from 1 species
GUUUUCUCUAAAGUCAAACCCAAAUUCCUGCUGCUGCAAAGACCUGAGGAAGUACGAGCAACCCCUGCUGAAUCUGAUGAAGAAGUAGAGAUAGAGAGGGAUGUUGGUGAUGUUGGAUCCUAAUUUCAGUUCCUAUCUCACCACAGGACCUUGGGCAUAUUAACUAACCAAUAUAGAGUUCAAGUAAAGUGGACUUGGGGCAACGCCAGGAAAGCCUGUGGUUAGUUUUUUCUUUCAUGUGACCCUCUGCCCAAAUGACGAGUCUGGGAGUGCUGGGAUCCAGGAAAGGUAACCACAGGUAAACAUUAAUCCAGCCCUUCCCUAGGGCAAUGUUACUUAUGGGCUAUGAAAAUAAUUGUUGUUCAUAAUCUUUGCCAUUAGACUUCAUGGCACAAUUCCCACUGUGCCUAAGAACACGAAUAGGUAAAUUAUCAAUCAUUAAUAUCCCCCUAGAAUAUAAUAUCCAUGAAGCUGUUUUAUACCUCCACAGCAACUUUCAUAAUAAGCAUUCAGUAAAUACUUGUUUAAGGUAUUGUUCAAUCCCACAAAUAACUGAUUUUCACUUAAAAGUGAAAAAGAAAUGGUAUAUUACCUAUCACAUAAAACAAUAUCAAUUUUAAACCUGACACUAUCAGUAUGUCUGAUAUCACCAAACUAAUAGAUCAAUUUAAAAUAAUAAUUCCAUUUUAGAAAUCCAUUCAUUUAGCUGAAGGACUGGUAAAUGCAAUUGAAAGUAAUGUGCUGUAAACAGUUUUUGAGAAUGUAAAGGAUCAUCAAUAUUUUAAAGAGUUACUUAAUUAUAAAUCUGGCCCAUUACACAAGUUUAGAGCAUUAUGGUUGAUAGCAUUUGUGAAUUUAAGAAUUUACUAAGCAGUCACCUUCUCCUAUAAAAGCUAAAAAGAACAACAAAAGGGAAAAAAGAAAUGGGUUCAUAAAGUACAACAUCAGGCAAGUGAAAGGUAUCCAAUUUUCCACUCCCUUAGUUACAAGCAAAUUUUGGAAGGGGGGAAAAACACCACAUCAACAGUAUAGUACCUACUUCAGCGUUUUCACAUUCUGGUUACAGCACCCAUUAUAGCUCUCUGUUUAGACAGUGAUAGUAGUUACAAAGUGCAACCAAAACAUUAAACGUUGGCAAGCACUUCUACGCUUAAUUAAGAAACGCUUUUGUCAGCUUCUUCUUUGAAUAAGGGGGUUAUUAAUUCAAAACUGGAGAACAUGCUCUGGUGGUUUCUCUGUGGGAAUUGUGGCUGCACAUAUGCUACAGAGAACUGUCUUAAUUAUUUCGAUUAAUCAAACAAAAUUCCCACCAAAUACAUGAUGCAACAAAUUAAAACCUACCUUGGUCCACAGACCCUUUAAAAAGUUCUACAAUAAUUUCACUAAAUUUUCAA